rnacentral:sRNA from 1 species
UAUACAGAAUAUGAAUAUUAUUGUGAUGAUUAGUUGAACUUACGCGAUGUAGCAGGAAAGUCAAUUGGUUUUGUUUCAAAAUUUCAAACCCUGAGGAGGAUCUCCGGCGCUAGUCCAAAUGUGUUAUAUUGACUUCGAAAACGGCUCAAAGAACGGAAGAUAACAUAUGUGGAGCUAGAUUUCGUCGUAUUUUACGCAUUGACAAUGUCCCCGGCAGUGGAGAGGCUCAUAAUAGAGACGACAAAAUGUCUUCUUUUUUUUGAAGACUGGGACCAUUAAUUAAAUAUGAAAUAUAUUUUUUUAAGCAAUAUAUUUCAGGCAAUACGCAAUUUAAUCCAAUGAAAUAAAGAUUUCUUUAUUCGAGUGAAAAAUAUUAA